rnacentral:lncRNA from 1 species
AUGAACAGUACUGAAUGUCUGAAAAAUGUGCAAAAGGAGCUUAGAAAAAAAAAAAAAACUGUCUCACAGGCAUUUGGUCUUCACCGGACUGUGAGAAGAAAAGACAGCUUCACGUAUCUACCAAGGAGCCUCACUCCACAGAAGCUUCUGAGAGUGAAACAAGACCGAAUCAGAAAUCAAGAUCUGCCCUGUGAGACUCUUCCUAUGGACACCGAGCAGCGCCAAUUCACAGGAUGAAAAUACGCC